CCUUACCUACCCUUGACAUGGUCGGAAUCCUGAAGAGAUUUGGGAGUGCUCGAAAGAGAACCGGCGCACAGGUGCUGCAUGGCUGUCGUCAGCUCGUGUCGUGAGAUGUUGGGUUAAGUCCCGCAACGAGCGCAACCCUUGUCAUUAGUUGCUACGAAAGGGCACUCUAAUGAGACUGCCGGUGACAAACCGGAGGAAGGUGGGGAUGACGUCAAGUCCUCAUGGCCCUUAUGGGUAGGGCUUCACACGUCAUACAAUGGUACAUACAGAGGGCCGCCAACCCGCGAGGGGGAGCUAAUCCCAGAAAGUGUAUCGUAGUCCGGAUUGGAGUCUGCAACUCGACUCCAUGAAGUGGAAUCGCUAGUAAUCGCGGAUCAGCAU
rnacentral:rRNA from 1 species